rnacentral:sRNA from 12 species
AGCCUAAACCCUAUAUAAUUUUGGGCAUGGCGAAAAAAUCUCUUGGAAGGUGCAGAACCCUGCGUUCAGCUAUUCUUCCAAGAGUCACAUCUCGAAAGAGAUGUGGGGUCGCAAGAUCC